rnacentral:rRNA from 1 species
AGCGAACGCUGGCGGCAGGCCUAACACAUGCAAGUCGAACGGAUCCUUCGGGAUUAGUGGCGGACGGGUGAGUAACACGUGGGAACGUGCCCUUUGGUUCGGAACAACUCAGGGAAACUUGAGCUAAUACCGGAUGUGCCCUUCGGGGGAAAGAUUUAUCGCCAUUGGAGCGGCCCGCGUCUGAUUAGCUAGUUGGUGAGGUAACGGCCCACCAAGGCGACGAUCAGUAGCUGGUCUGAGAGGAUGAUCAGCCACACUGGGACUGAGACACGGCCCAGACUCCUACUGGAGGCAGCAGUGGGGAAUCUUGCGCAAUGGGCGAAAGCCUGACGCAGCCAUGCCGCGUGAAUGAUGAAGGUCUUAGGAUUGUAAAAUUCUUUCAGCGGGGACGAUAAUGACGGUACCCGCAGAAGAAGCUCCGGCUAACUUCGUG